UACAGAGGGUGCGAGCGUUGUUCGGAAUUAUUGGGCGUAAAGCGCUUGUAGGCGGCUUGUUAAGUCUCGUGUGAAAUCCCCAGGCUUAACCUGGGAAGUGCGCGAGAAACUGGCGAGCUUGAAUGCCGGAGAGGGUCGCGGAAUUCCCGGUGUAGAGGUGAAAUUCGUAGAUAUCGGGAAGGAACACCAGUGGCGAAGGGCGGCGACCUGG
rnacentral:rRNA from 1 species